rnacentral:lncRNA from 12 species
AUGACGUCAGACGUCGCAAGCGGGCGGGAUAGGCUGGCGGCGGCGGCGGGGCGGGGCCGCGCUCCGGAGGGGCGGGGCCCGCCGGCCGAGGGGCGUCACGCGCCGGCGCGCAGGGGCGGGGCUCGAGCGAGGAGUCGGGCUUGCGGGGGCGGGGACGAGCGUGGGCUCGCCGCGACGUGGGGGCGGGGCGGGGCGGGCGGUCGAGGCGUCACCGGCUGGCGUGUCGGGGUCGGGAGGGCGGGGGUGGGGACCUACGCAAGUCGAACCGGCAGAAACCGGCCAGGACAGGAAAGCGGCGCAGGACUGACGCGCUGGGCGCGGCUCGCGCUCCCUGAGUCACGCGGGCUCCGACGGUCCCCGCAGCCCCCUGCCCCCUCCGCACCCCGCGCUCCCCGGCCGCCCCGGGCCGGCCGCGCCUCCGCCGCAGCGCGAAGGGACCCCGAUCCCGAGAGCGGGCCCUCGGGGCCGCGGGGCCCAGGCCCGGGCAGCAGCCGCCUCGGCCCCCGGUGCCACCCCGCCCCGCUCCGCUCUCCACCUGCGCCCGUCGUCCCGCAGGUCCCCAGCGCCUCCCACCCUCCCUCCCUCCCUCCCUCCCACUGCGCCCGGGAGGAAAUGGGGCACUGGGCCAGGAGGCCGCGGGCACCCCAGGAGCGGGCAUCCUUGCAAGGCACUGGGCGUGCCCGUGGGCGCUGGCAGGGGGCCGAGCCCGGCGUGCGGGCGGCGGCCAGCGUGCGCCCGACCCCCGCGCCAGCCACCUGGGGCGUCGGGGCUUUCCUCUGCUGUCCAGGGCGUCCCCGUGGCAGCCUGGGGGGGCGGGGAGCCUUCAAGCCCCCGACGACCUGCUGGGCCGGCUCUGCGCGCUUGGGCCUGGGUGGGCCCCGGGGUGAGCCGAGCACAGGGGGCCCCGGCGUACUCGCGGGUGAGCGCGCGAGGUUGCAAGGCCGUGGAGAGCCUGCACUGUCAUUAGGAAUUCGUGAAGGCCUUGGUCGCAAAGAGCUGUUCUGGGGGGAUUGGAAAGGUGGUGACAAUCAUAUUCUAAAUGAAGCCAACUCAGGGAAUGUGGGUACAAAUGAAGCGCCCCCCCCCCCGGAGGCCCAGAACUAG